AUAAUUGCAUUUUCUUUAAUUUAGGAGAUUGUCUGAUGGGCAUCAUGUUUUAUCCUUAAACAGUCUAUGCCCACGCUGAUGUCCGACCUCAUCUCGUUAUCCCGUUCGUUGAUUUGUAAUCGCCCUCUCGGAUGGAGCCUUCUGAUCCUGUGCCUGCCCAGUCAGUGGAUGUUCAACGAGGUUCACCGCAAGUCAACUCAUCAAGGUAAAGGUUUGGUUACAAUGAAGGGUUUUAACGGAUCAUUUCCUAAUGCUGCGUCAUCUGCUAAGGUACAAAGAAUAUGCAUUUUCACAUGUGGAUACCACUGUUGAGGCUAUUGUUUAGUGUUUACCAACAUCUCAUAUUGAUAAUUUUGCCUUCUCUGCUCUAGAUAUUUGCUGUUCUUGCUGGUGUUCAAAGUUUGGUAGCCUGCUCUUUGAGAAAACUAUGUGGAAAAAAUGAUAGUUUGUCUUCGGGAAUACGUGCAUCUCAAUUGAAAAUAUUACACUAUAAUUAUUAUCGUAUUUUGUAUGUUAACUAGUUUUUUCAUUCA